UAGAGGCUGGAAUCCUGUGCCAGCAGAUCUACUGCUGCCCUGCAAACAGGCCUGGCAGUUGAUUAAACAGCCUGCGUGUCUGUUAGAAAAAACAAUAAAGCUUUGGAAGGAGGACUCUCAAGAGACAACUUCUUGGGACACAUGGCAACGCAGUGAGCAGGUCAGGUCAGCCAGAGGACUGCGAAGCUUCUCAGGCAGGCAGCUGGCAAGCAGAGACGAUAUCUGCUCUCGGUCCUCCCUCUCGGUUCCAAUAUCUGUAGUUUUCAUUGGGAAUACGGACAAAGAAAGCAAUGGCUACUGUUUAUAGAUCAGCUUUCACAAGGCUCACGUCUUCAGGAUGUUGGAGGAAACUGAAGCACCCAAGGGAAACAGACGAGGACCUGCAAACUGCACACGGACAGCUGGUGAGGACGGCACUGAAGCCGGUCUCCAGAGCUUUGAGACAAAGGGCUGCCUCAGCCCUGCAGAUGGGGUUGUACGUGGAUCAGUCAAAGUCAAACCGGAUGAUGGGACUGACACGAAGGGCUUCGUUACAUCAGACUGUUUAACCCUCGGAGUACAGGUGAUAAAUAAAUCCGAAUCUGAAGAUCCCCACCUUCUGGACUGUGCCUGCUUUUUGCAGCCACCAUCAGGCACUAAGUACAGAAUGCUCAUUCCACAUCACCUGGUUCAAGAACCAACCUACACAACCCUAAUCACAAUCUCAGUACAGUAACACUAUCACCACUUUGCAUC